rnacentral:rRNA from 1 species
UCCAGACUCCUACGGGAGGCAGCAGUGGGGGAUAUUGCACAAUGGGGGGAACCCUGAUGCAGCGACGCCGCGUGGGUGAAGGAGCGUUUCGGCGCGUAAAGCCCUAUCGGCAGGGAAGAAGGAGGACGGUACCUGACUAAGAAGCCCCGGCUAACUACGUGCCAGCAGCCGCGGUAAUACGUAGGGGGCAAGCGUUAUCCGGAUUUACUGGGUGUAAAGGGGGCGCAGACGGCAGCGCAAGCCAGGAGUGAAAGCCCGGGGCCCAACCCCGGGACUGCUCUUGGAACUGCGCGGCUGGAGUGCAGGAGGGGCAGGCGGAAUUCCUGGUGUAGCGGUGAAAUGCGUAGAUAUCAGGAGGAACACCGGUGGCGAAGGCGGCCUGCUGGACGGCGACUGACGUUGAGGCCCGAAAGCGUGGGGAGCAAACAGGAUUAGAUACCCGCGUAGUA